rnacentral:rRNA from 1 species
AGUUAGUGGCGGACGGGUGAGUAACGCGUGGAAAACCUGCCGUAUACUGGGGGAUAACACUUAGAAAUAGGUGCUAAUACCGCAUAAGCGCACAGCUUCGCAUGAAGCGGUGUGAAAAACUCUGGUGGUAUACGAUGGUUCCGCGUCUGAUUAACUAGUUGGUGGGGUAAUGGCCUACCAAGGCAACGAUCAGUAGCCGGCCUGAGAGGGUGAACGGCCACAUUGGGACUGAGACACGGCCCAAACUCCUACGGGAGGCAGCAG